AAGAUAGAUUAGUUAGAAAGAAAGAUAGAUAGAUUUGUUAGAAUGAAAGAAAGAUAGAUUAGUGAGAAAGAAAGAUAGAUUAGUUAGAAAGAAAGAUAGAUUAGUUAGAAAGAAAGAAAGAUUAGUUAGAAAGAAAGAUAGAUAGAUUAGAUAGAAAGAAAGAACGAUAGAUUAGUUAGAAAGAAAGAUGGAUAGAUUAAUUAGUUAGAAAGAAAGAUAGAUAGAUUAGUUAGAAAGAAAGAACGAUAGAUUAGUUAGAAAGAAAGAUAGAUAGAUUAGUUAGAAAGAAAGAACGAUAGAUUAGUUAGAAAGAAAGAUGGAUAGAUUAGUUAGAAAGAAAGAUAGA